rnacentral:tRNA from 1 species
AAGAUUCUAGUAUAAAAAAAACAAAGUCUUGUCAAGACUUAAAUGUGAGUUUAAAUCUCACGAAUCUUA